AAAUCAGCCAGCCUGUCAUCCCAGCACUCUUGGAGGCCAGGGAGGGAGGAUCGCUCGGGGUCAGGAGUUGGAGGCCAGCCUCAUGAGCAACAGCGAGACCCCGUCUCUACUUAAAAAAAUACAAAAAGUGAGAUGGACAACUAAAAAUAUAUAGAAAAAAUCAGCCAAUCUGUCAUCCCGGCACUCUGGGGAGGCCGAGGCGGGAGGAUCGCUGGAGGUCGGGAGUUGGAGGCCGGCCUCAUGAGCAAAAGCGAGACCCUGUCUUUAUUAAAAACAGAAAGAAAUUAAUUGUCUAGCUAAUAUAUAUAGAGAAAAAAUUACCCGGUCAUGGAGGCUCACGCCUGUCGUCCCAGCACUCUGGGAGGCCGAGGCGGGAGGCUGGCUCGAGGUCGGGAGUUGGAGGCCGGUCUCAUGAGCAAGAGCGAGACCCCGUCUCUACUUAAAAAAAUACAAAAAAUGAGAUGGACAACUAAAAAUAUAUAGAAAAUAUCAGCCAAUCUGUCAUCCCGGCACUCUGGGGAGGCCGAGGCGGGAGGUUCGCUCGAGGUCAGGAGUUGGAGGCCGGCCUCAUGAGCAAGAGCGAGACCCCGUCUCUACUAAAGACAGAAAGAAAUUAAGUCUGCAGCUAAUAUACAUAGAGAAAAAAUUAUCUGGUCGCGGAGGCUCACGCCUGUCAUCCCGGCACUCUGGGAGGCCGAGGCGGGAGGAUCGCUCGAGGUCAGGAGUGGGAGGCCAGCCUCAUGAACAACAGCGAGACCCCGUCUCUACUUAAAAAAAUAGAAAGAAAUGAGCUGGACAACUAAAAACAUAUAGAAAAAAUCAGCCAGUCUGUCAUCCGGGCACUCUGGGAGGCCGAGGCGGGAGGCUCGCUGGAGGUCAGGAGUUGGAGGCCGGCCUCAUGAGCAAGAGGGAGACCCCGUCUCUACUAAAAAUAGAAAGAAAUUAGUUGACCAAGUGGAAAUAUAAAGAGAAAACGAGCCGGGCGUGGUGGCGCACGCCUGUCGUCCCGGCUGCUCGGGAGGGAGGCCGAGGCGGGAGGCCCAGGAGCCGGAGGCCGCCGUGAGCGAGGCCGAGGCCCCGGCGCUCACUCCAGCCCGGGCGGCAUUUGGGGCUCCGUCUCCGAAGAUAAAUUAACACGGGCCGGCGGCUGUCAUUGGCAGAGCUGGGGGAGCCGGCGCCGGGAGACGGGGCGCGACCCGCCAGCCCCCCGCGGGCCCUGGAGAUCGAGGUCGAGACGCCCCAGCAGGCCAAGGCCCGGGAGAGGAGGGAGAAGACGCGGCGGGAGCUGGAGGGCCACCUGCGCAGGGCCGUGCAGCGGAUCCAGAGGGACGUCCGCGAGGACACGCACAAGGUGCACCUGCUCUGCCUGCUGGCCAACGGCCUCCACCGCAGCCGGGUGUGCAGCCAGCCUCACCUGCUGGCCCUCGGCCUCUCCCUGGUGCCCGAGCGCUUCGCCUGCGUGCCGGCCGCGGACGCGGACGCCGCCUUCCUGUCCCGCCUCACCCAGUGGGCAAGAAAACCUCCAAGGCGAGGCCCACGCAGGAGGCCGGAGGCCCAGGAAACCGCCCCUCGGGCCCCGGAGGGAAGCGCAAGAGCAAGAGCAAGAAGACAGGCGGCCUUGAGCCUCCAGCCUCCAGCCAGGGGGUAGAGGCCGGCCGAGGAGGCCGGGGAGGCCGGAGGCUGCGGCGGGCGGCGGCCUCCACGGCCUCCUACCGGGAGCAGAGCGGCAGUGAGGACGAGGAGGACAAGGCCGGCAGCGGCUCCGACGGGGAGGCC
ensembl:lincRNA